UACGGAGGGUGCGAGCGUUGUCCGGAAUCAUUGGGCGUAAAGGGCGCGUAGGUGGCCCGGUCAGUUCGUGGUGAAAGCGCGGGCUCAACCCUGCGUCGGCCAUCGAAUACUGCCGCGGCUGGAGCACUGUAGAGGCAGGCGGAAUUCCGGGUGUAGCGGUGGAAUGGCGUAGAGAUCCGGAAGAACACCGGUGGCGAAGGC
rnacentral:rRNA from 1 species